AUAAUGAAGAAAAAAGAGCUACUGAUUUUGAACUCCUUAAAUAAUGGAAUUAUUUUUCUAAUUCUUUAUAUCAGAUUAGUAUAAUGAAGAGCUACUGAUUUUGAAUGCCUUUAAUUGAUGGAAAUAGAAGCAACUAUAAAUAUGAUUACAAUAAAGAGCUAUUGAUUUUGAACUCCUUAAAUAAUGAAAUAUUUUUCUAAUUCUUUAUAUCAGAUUAGUAUAAUGAAGAAAGAAGAGCUACUGAUUUAGAACUCCUUAAAUAAUGGAAAUAGAAGCAACUGAUAAAUAUGAUUAAAAUUUAUUAUUUAUUAGAUAAUGAAGAAAGAAG